rnacentral:rRNA from 1 species
AAGGAAUAUUGGACAAUGCCCGCAAGGGUGAUCCAGCCAUGCCGCGUGCAGGAAGACGGCCCUAUGGGUUGUAAACUGCUUUUACACCGGAGAAAACCCCCUUACGUGUAAGGGGCUGAUAGUAUGGUGAGAAUAAGCAUCGGCUAACUUCGUGCCAGCAGCCGCGGUAAGACGAAGGAUGCAAGCGUUAUCCGGAUUCAUUGGGUUUAAAGGGAGCGUAGGUGGCCUUAUAAGUCAGUGGUGAAAUCUCUGGGCUUAACCCAGAAAUUGCCAUUGAUACUGUAGGGCUUGAGUAUAGAUGCCGUUGGCGGAAUAUGACAUGUAGUGGUGAAAUACAUAGAGAUGUCAUAGAACACCGAUUGCGAAGGCAGCUAACGAAACUAUAACUGACACUGAGGCUCGAAAGUGUGGGGAUCAAA